AUUCAGAUUUGCAGGGCACUAUUUUAGGGUUUCCCUGGCUGAUGUUGAUCCAGACCUCUAACCUCUGAGGCACAGGAGCUGGCAGUGCCUGGAUGGGAACUCAGCAUGGUGGCCAUCUGUCCCCAGGAGUGAUGGGAUUUAUUUUGUCCCUUGAAAUGUGAGAUCAAUCCAAGGUGCCCGAGAGGAUACUGGAGAAGGUUCAUCUGAGAUUCAUUUUUCCAGCUCCGGCAAGUUUGUUUCUACUGUAGCUGUGCUGGAAAUUACCCUGCAAGUGUUUAUAAUCCUGUCCUACUGUGAAGGACUCCAUGUAGGAUGCGUUACUCAGAUGAAGGAAG